AGUCGAGCGAGAUGAUCCCUCCGGGAGAUUCUAGCGGCGGACGGGUGAGUAACGCGUGGGUAACCUGCCCUAUGGAAAGGAAUAGCCUCGGGAAACUGGGAGUAAUGCCUUAUAAUACAUUUUGGUCGCACGACUAUGAUGUUAAACGCUCCGGUGCCAUAGGAUGGACCCGCGUCCCAUUAGCUAGUUGGUGAGAUAACAGCCCACCAAGGCGACGAUGGGUAACCGGGUCUGAGAGGGCGAACGGUCACACUGGAACUGAGACACGGUCCAGACUCCUACGGGAGGCAGCAGUGGGGAAUAUUGCGCAAUGGGGGCAACCCUGACGCAGCAAUACCGCGUGAGUGAAGAAGGUUUUCGGAUCGUAAAGCUCUGUUAUUGGGGAAGAAAAAAGACGGUACCCAAGAAGAAAGUCCCGGCUAACUACGUG
rnacentral:rRNA from 1 species